rnacentral:rRNA from 1 species
UGGGGAAUAUUGGACAAUGGGCGAAAGCCUGAUCCAGCCAUGCCGCGUGUGUGAAGAAGGUCUUCGGAUUGUAAAGCACUUUAAGUUGGGAGGAAGGGCAGUAAGCGAAUACCUUGCUGUUUUGACGUUACCGACAGAAUAAGCACCGGCUAACUCUGUGCCAGCAGCCGCGGUAAUACAGAGGGUGCAAGCGUUAAUCGGAAUUACUGGGCGUAAAGCGCGCGUAGGUGGUUCGUUAAGUUGAAUGUGAAAGCCCCGGGCUCAACCUGGGAACUGCAUCCAGAACUGGCGAGCUAGAGUAGGGGAGAGGGUGGUGGAAUUUCCUGUGUAGAGGUGAAAUGCGUAGAUAUAGGAAGGAACACCAGUGGCGAAGGCGACCACCUGGGCUCAUACUGACACUGAGGUGCGAAAGCGUGGGGAGCAAACAGG